UUUUUUUGAGUGUUUAUGCAUUUAUAAUUUUGGCUUAUAAGGAAGAGCUGUAUCUCUAUGAUUGG
rnacentral:tRNA from 1 species